GGCAGGGCUGUUUUAGUAAUUUCACAUCUUGCCUCUAUCCUUAUCUACCCAGCACGCCCCCUGGAGGUCUUUGGAUGAUGCUAGAGCUCAGAGAAGUGCCUUUGCACCUCCCUCAUUUUCUCUCUCUAGGGUUUCUCUCUCCUCAAGUAGAAAUCGCCUAUUCGAGCUUAUUUCGCGCCGCACGCGUUACUCGCUGGGUUGGAAACUCAAGGAAAGCUUUUGGAACGUGGGGAGGAGGAUAUUUACUGACUUUUCUGGGAUUUUAACACCAGAAAGAGCUGAGUUGCAGCUUUUGAAAGCUGAGUUCGAGGGCAAUUUCAGCAGCUAAAGAGAGGUUAUUUAGCUGUGAUUGAACCAUCUUAGACCAGGGAUAAGCUGCUCCAAAGUUGGACAAAGCAGGUUUGCGGAUUAAUUUAAGCUUAAUUGGUGACCUUGGGGACUGGUUAAGAGGUGUUCCAACUAAGGGUAAGCUGAAAUUGCUGUAAGGAAACUGAAUUUGCAAGAUUCCGACUAUAUUUAUUAAUAUUUGACGACUAUGAUGCCG